GAUGAACGCUGGCGGCGUGCUUAACACAUGCAAGUCGAACGGAAAGGCCCUGCUUUUGUGCGGUGCUCGAGUGGCGCACGGGUGAGUAACACGUGAGUAUCCUGCCCUUGACUUUCGGAUAACUUCAAGAAACUGGGGCUAAUACCGGAUACGAGCUCCUGCUGCAUGGUGGGGGUUGGAAAGUUUCGGCGGUUGGGGAUGGACUCGCGGCUUAUCAGCUUGUUGGUGGGGUAGUGGCUUACCAAGGCUUUGACGGGUAGCCGGCCUGAGAGGGUGACCGGCCACAGUGGGACUGAGAUACGGCACAGACUCCUACGGGAGGCAGCAGUGGGGAAUAUUGCACAAUGGGCGGAAGCCUGAUGCAGCAACGCCGCGUGCGGGAUGACGGCCUUCGGGUUGUAAACCGCUUUCGCCUGUGACGAAGCGUGAGUGACGGUAAUGGGUAAAGAAGCACCGGCUAACUACGUG
rnacentral:rRNA from 1 species